rnacentral:rRNA from 1 species
UGCGUAGGUGGUUAAGUAAGUUAUCUGUGAAAUCCCUGGGCUCAACCUGGGCAGGUCAGAUAAAACUGUUUAACUCGAGUAUGGGAGAGGGUAGUGGAAUUUCCGGUGUAGCGGUGAAAUGCGUAGAGAUCGGAAGGAACACCAGUGGCGAAGGCGGCUACCUGGCCCAAUACCGACACUGAGGCACGAAAGCGUGGGGAGCAAACA